UACGUAGGGGGCGAGCGUUGUCCGGAUUUAUUGGGCGUAAAGAGCUCGUAGGCGGCUUGGCAAGUCGGGUGUGAAACCUCCAGCUCAACCUGGAGACGCCACUCGAUACUGCCAUGGCUAGAGUCCGGUAGGGGACCACGGAAUUCCUGGUGUAGCGGUGAAAUGCGCAGAUAUCAGGAGGAACACCGGUGGCGAAGGCGGUGGUCUGGGCCGGCACUGACGCUGAGGAGCGAAAGCGUGGGGAGCGAACAGG
rnacentral:rRNA from 1 species